UUGACAAAAAUCAAGGUUCAUUUAAACUGUUGUUUAGGAUGAGAUUGUGUGUGUGUUUGUGUGUGUGUGUGUGUGUGUGUGUGUGUGAGAGAGAGAGAGAGAGAGAGAGAGAGAGAGAGAGAGAGAGAGAGAGAGAGAGACUUCUGUGUAUUGUGUAGCUAAUGUUGUGGGCUCAUUUAUAUACUGAAAAUAUUCAUGUUCCUCAAACUAGAGAAGUUAAAGAAACACUUCCAUUAAUUAUUUUUCUCCCUUGCUGUGAAAAACACUCGAUAAAACCCCCAUUAAGGAAGGGUUUGUUUCUGCUAACAGUUUGGGGUUCCAUCAUGAUGGGAAAACCCUGGCAGCCAGAGCCUGAGGCAGAGGUCACAUGUGUAAACAGUCAGAAAGCAGAGAGAGAUGAACACUGGCACUCAGCUUGCUCUCUCUUCUUCAUUCAGUCUGGACCAUUGCCCAUGGACCCCUAUUGCCUACAGAUGGGGUAGAUUUUCCCACUUUGAUUAACUCUCUAUCUAGAAACGCCUUCAAGGUUUGUCUCCUGUGUAAUUUUAGAUUCUGUCAAGUUGACAAUGUUGUCAUGUAACACUUUACCAAUCUGUCAUUCUCCAAACUGAAAUCGCUGGUGAUGGUAACCUCUCCCCUGCUCAUAUUUAUGAAUUCCUAACUGUACUAUGACCAUCAUUAAGAAAAGGUGUUUCGUCUGUUGCUAAGCUUUCUGCACAAUUCUAAGCAUGGUUUUUCCAAAUCUUUCGUUAUUCUCUUAUGGUUCUUCUCUAGAGAAUGUGCAAGCCAAUCAUAAAACAUGACACUGAUGUGUAAUCCCCAUUUUCGAACUAGUUUUUCUCUAUUAUAUACCUGGGCUUCAUAAGGAGACAUUGUCUCAUUGCCAACAACAAAAAUGGAGUCAUUUAUGUCAGCCCUUCCAAAAGUAACUAAAGCCAAGAGGUUAUGGGUAGAUAGUUCUUAUACAUGACUGCUUGGAAGUACAUGUGAGGUAGACUACUUGUGUGUAUACACAGCUAUUUUAACAGGAAUGAUGACCUUCUAUUUAAUAGGUAUCCUUUGAUUUUUCUUUUUUAUGACCUGCUAUAUACUUAAACAUCUGCCUUUGUUUUACAUGGACACAUUUUGGCUAAUACAACCUGUCAUCUCCUCUUGUAUUAGUGUAUCACUGGGCUAGGAGACUUUCAAAGCCAGACUGGUCAACACCCUAACUCCCUCUGGAUUGCAGAAUGUUUAGACAGAAGGAUACUGACACAGAUACUAAGAAGUUGCUUUUGCUAAAAAGCAUUAACUUCUCAGUUGGGCACACAGUGCAACUGUAACAGGAUGAGAGCCUGCCGUCUCUGCCCUGCUUUUGCUCUGCAUUUUGACUGAAGGCACUGAGGUAAGUUAUCCUUCUUAACCUUUGUCACUUUGAACUUCAGGAAGAGCAAAACCCCACAGGACAGACACACACCCCAGAAGAAGAAAAGUUUCCAUGGAGUUGAGGCUGUUCCUCAAGUAAUUAACAGAAACAGUUGAUCAUACAACCUUUCAGGCCUGGAGCUGAAUCUGGUAGGUGGGGCCACACCAGGAUAGGACUGUUUAGUUAUACACACCUUUUGCCUUCUGUUUAAACCUCAUCUCAAUGCUGAGGCAGUGGACGUGGGGGUUACCGGACCCCUUUCUUUGUUCCUUUCCCCAGUGUAGUCAUGUUACAUAAAUCUUCUUUCCUUGCCUUUUCACCAUUACUCAUCUCGGUAAUUGGCACAGUGUGACCGGAAGCAGAGCCUGGCUUCCCUCAGUUUCUGAAGCCAGGCCUUUUGCACUAAGAUAACUCUUGUAACAUUGAGGCCAAGUUGUUUCCCCUUGCCGCCAUUCUGUUCUCUUGGCACGCACUUACUGCUUGUCCUGUGCCUUCAAACACAGGACAUAGAAUGUGAUCUGUGCUAUGAGGAAGGGUGUGUGUGAUUGGGAGCACAUUUUAAUCAUAGACAGAUACACAGUAGACAGGUAACUUAGAUAAGGGCUUAAAUAAAAUGAUCAUUUAUUUCUUACUAAUAAAGUAUCCAAGUCAACAAAUUAUGCCUUAGUUUUUAAAUCUUGCUUUUAUAUUUUUCUUACUUAAUUUAUUUAGUGUGUGUGUGUGUGUGUGUGUGUGUGUGUGUGUGUGUGUGUGUGUGUGUGUGUGUGUGUAAAUGCAUGUGUGUACUAUGGCACACACAGGGAGACCAGAAGACCACUUUUGGGUACUUGAUUAUCUGUUUCUACCUUGCGGGUCUCGGAGAUGAACUCAGGUUGUCAGGCUUGCACCAUGGGACUGUGAGCACCUUCACUCACUAAGCCGUCUUGCCAGCCCCUCCCCUUGAGAAGCAAGGCAUCUCGGUAAAGUUUAAUGCUGGAGAGGAAAGUGGUCUUCAGGAGAGGGAAGUGUGUUCUAAGAACAGCAAGGCUAGGGGAUUCGGAAGGAAAUGGCUCUCAUGAGAAUGUGAGGAACAGCAUGACUCAAGAACAUUUGUUUGUGGAAUGCAUGAAAAAGUGAAAAUGAGUAAGCAGGAAACAUCAAAGGCCUACAAUGAACUGCAGCUGGCCCAGAACGGAGGAGUCGGGGUUUCUUAUAGCUCCCAGCUCCACAGAAGGGAGCUUGUCAUACAUGUUUAACUUUUAAUUUUCAUUGCGUUUGUUGUUUCUUUUCAACAAGUAACAAAAUUUCCAUUAGCCUUAGAUGAGUCUCCCCCACCCACCCUUGAGCUUGUGUUUCUCCUAAUAAAGGUAAAUUGUAAUACAUAUGGCACUCCAGAGCUUGUUGUGAAGAUAAACCAUUGAAAGUAACUAGAAAAUGCUUGCUUCAAAGAUGGGCUUAGACUAGAUUCCUUUUUUCUUCCAUAUAUAUAUAUAUAUAUUUUAUGUAGAGGACUGGGUAGCUGAUAAUAGGGAUUGACAGUCAAUGAGUGAAAUUAUAUUUUAAAGAAAAAUAAGAAUUGUUUAUUGAGCACUGUGGUGAUAAUCUUGCUUGUACAAAUAAAGCCUGUCUGAAGGUCAGAGAAUUGAGCUUUCCACUAGCUAACCAUAGAGGACUGGAGGUCUGUACAGACAGAUAGGAAGUGAGGUAGCUGGGCAGAAACAGGAUAUUAGCAGGGAGAAACAGGAAAUGGCGUUCUUGUCUGCUGAGACGCUAAGGAGGUAAUGUGUAGGUGGUUUGCUCCUUCCUCUCUCUGAUCUCUCAGCAUUUUCCACUAUAUCUGACUCUUUUUUUAUUACCUAGACCAAUUAAGAACUCUAUUUACAGAGCAUACUAUAACAGGGCAGCUAGCUGAGCUAGGGCAGUGGUCUUGUAGCAUAGGGUAAUGGUGUGGGGGUGGGGGAUUCCUCUGGGGAGAAUUACUUUACAGUUUGGGGAGUUUCUUUUUGUGCAGUUUCCUGGCAUCUAAUUCAAAUCAUGGGAUGGAGGUGCUUACACUGGUGUGCUUACAAUUCUGGAAGGUUAUCAUGAGCUGCCGAGCACACGGGUUUUGGCUGUGGCAUCUCUACCGUUCAAUAAAGGCCAUGAAAACUCCUCUGCAAAGUGAGGUCCUGUCUGAAAACAAAACAAGAAACAGACAAAAAGAUGAAAACAUUACGAUCUGAUCCUUAGGCCAGGACCCAGUCUAGGAUCUCUUGUCUGCAAAGACAAGAUGCACUCUUUUACAACCAUAAAGGUGUUGAGGGAAAAGAAGGGAAGUAGGCUACGUCAUCCCUAUGAGUCAUUCUGAAAGUGAAAAGACACAGGUGAAAUCAGCAGUAUUCUUUGCUUAACCAAUCUAUCUGGGAUGUCAUUUCAACACGGCACCAGUAGGAAUUUCAGGAGAUAACUGACACCUUCCUUUCCAAUGAGGGCUUUGGGUUUGGGUUUGGGUGUGCACUUUAUACUUACAGAUCUUGGUGGUGGUUCUGUUUCUUGUCAGCCAUCACCUGGGAGAUGGGCCUCUGGCCAUGUGGAGGGGAAUUACCUUGAUUGACUUAAUGCACGUGGGAAAUCCCAUCUUAACUGUGGGCAGCACCCUUCUCCGGGAGGGGAUCCUAGACUAUACAAAACAGAGCGAGCUGAGCCUUGGCAUCCGUUGCUCCCUGCUUCCUGUUUGUGGACGCAACAUGAGCCAUCGCUUCAAGCUCCUGCUGCCUUGACCAUGUCUGUGUUUUGAACUGUGAGCUGAAAGAAACCCUUUCUCCCAUAAGUUCCUAGCGUCCGCAGAUUUUAUCACAGUAUCGGGAAAGGCAACCAAGACACGCACAGUUCUGAACAUCCACACUCCCAUGCUCCACAGAAGCACUGUAGUGGGCACUGUUGACCUUGUGAGGGGCUCCCCUUGUGGCUAGAGUGCAAGCUCAUGUCUUUCUGUUCACAGUGUUUCACCAUUGACUUCCCCAAGGACGCACUGCCCUAAGAGUACUCACCCUUACCAUUUAGGUGGGAGUACUUCAGUUUCUUCUACCCAGAAUGCCCUCUGUGCUCUCUCCAGGCUUUGGGGAAAGGUGCUGAUUGUGAUAAGAGGCUUUUCUUGCUUCCCUUGGCACUGCACGCACAGCUGGAUUAGAGUGCUUUUCAAGGGGGAGUUGAUUGUUUUGGAGGUGCUCCACCUGCCUAGUACUCUGACUUUUUCAGCCUGUGGAGAUCAUGCUGAGCAGUAGAUGUUCACAGACAGAACAGUAAGCCACUGGCCAUCUGUAUCUUUAUUAACUCUCCAAUGACCUUGCUGCUUCCUGGUCUGGGGCUAUGUCCGCACUCCCCCUUGGUGAGUAAGCCUGAGUGAACACAUACAUCCAGAUGAGGUGGCGAACAAGUUCAUCCCAAGACAUGCCAUGCACAGAAAAUCACUGCCAUUUCCCCCUUUCAGACACUACAGCUUCGAGACACAAACUAAGUCAGCAUGGCAGAUUUGCAGCAGGCUUAGCACCGUGAUGGACAGCAAGGACUGUUCUUCACCGAGACUCAGGGACUUAGGUUCCUUGGAUGGUUGGAGAGUAGUUUGGUUACACCUUGGUGACCUGAAAAGAGGGAAGGGAUGGGUGCUUACAGCAUUGGGAAGCCAAGAAGUUUCUGGAAAUGGGAGUUUGAGGGAAGAGCUCACCCCUGAGACAGAGUUGAAGGCCAGACCAAUCCCGUCGACUCCUAUUGGAAUAACGUUGGCCUAAGGAGCAUAGGAAGAAGCCAGAGGCACAGAAGGUAGAACUUGGGAAAGCCACACUAGGAGCCAAGAACAAGUUCCCACUUGGUAAAGGUGUUGCAGUGAGAUGCUCUCCAUAAUACAUACAUUUGUAUUACUGGGGCUAAUACCUUCUCAGAGAGCAAUGCCAGUUCCCAGUUUGCAGAGUGGGAGGUGGCAAGAAUCAGAGGCUGAGAGGAGGCAAGCAAUUAAUCAAGGUCGCACAGCACUUGAAGCCCGAAUGAAACCUCCUAGCCCUUCCUGCCACACUUAGCCCAACCCCACUCACACCUCCUUUGCAACCAAGGGGCCUGAUGCGGCACCUAAGAGCAAGUCUGGGGUGGGUGCCAGGUCUGAUUAAUGUCUUCCUCACCGUCUUCCAGUAAGGGGCUGUGAUUAGACCUAUUUAUAGGGGCCUGGUGUCUUAAUAUUCUGCCUGGCGCAUCUCUUGCCAAUCAAAUCAGUGCCGUCUGCAGUGUGAUUGCCGCUUUAGUGGCACCAGGGAGCGGAGUUAAUUAAACCCAAUAUAAAUAGACUCUGCCCGCGCCUUGCAAUUCAGAGGCAUGUUUUUCCUUCCCGUCCUCCACCCCCAUGUGUGCCUCCUUCCUUCUGGCCCCUUCACACUGACCUGGGAGAGCGCGGCACGGACACCCCUUUUCUUAGAGGCAGUGGCCAUUGUCUUGCCUGUAUCAGUCCAGUUCUUGGUCCUUGCGCAGUGUUUGUGGCCUCCAUUUUUCCUGGACUUCGUAGUCCACGCUGGUGAUUCCCUCCUCCUCCAGCCUCUUCUGUGUUUCUCCGAGCACGGGAGGUUGAGCUGAGCUAAUGUGUACAGGGAGUUUAGCAUAUGAGCCACCUUCUGAACUCUCCUCUUAUGCCCGCCAGUGCCUUCUAUCUACCCACCCAGCAUCACCAGAGCCGAAUCUCCCAUGAGCCUCUAGCCUGCUUCCAGGUACCCUCUGCCUCCACUCCCAAACACAGACUGCCACUAUGCAGGCACCAGUUCCUCUCCUCAGCACCACCAUGCCACUGCCCUGAGGCUUUGGUUUCCACUCACAGGUACCCUAGUUCCUGUGAGGACCCAGCCCUCCCAGACCUCCUAAUCAGAUCCAUGAACCUGUGGUGAGAGACACCCAUCUAUCAAUUGGGGACAUCCUGUAGAACUGUCAAAUGUCCAGAGACAUCCUUAUAGGUGUAAAGAGCCACCAGCUACCCUAGUAGAGGACCAACCCUGACUUGACAGGCUUCUUCUGUUUCCACACAUGUACCCUGCAGGAGCUGCCCCAGCUUAUUUCCUGAAAGGGGGUCCAGACAGCAGUCAGUUCACACAUCUUCUCACGAGUGUGAGAGAGCACCACUCCAUAAUGCUCCCAGGCUGCCUGCGGGUCCCCCAGGCCUCAGUGCACUUCCUCCCAUUGGAUGGAGUCUUUUCCUUGAUGACUCCCUUAGCCAGGACUGCCUCAGCACGCUGGUGUAGGUGGGUGCCCAGGGCCCGGUACUUAGGUCUGGUUACAGCCACAGACUGGCAUCUACAGCUAUCUAGAGAGUAUGUUCUGGCAGGAGAGACAGGCCUAAAUACGGUCAUGCCUUGCUCAACACCAGGUUAGGUUCGAGAAAUGCAUCUUCACAUGUUGUUUUUUUUUUUUUUUUUUUUUUUUUUGGUAUGGUCAUGAAAGCAUACUGUGGACACCUGCAAGGUGUAGUGACUUACUGUGUGUGGCACUACAGAAAUGUAAACAAGUGACGAUAAGUAAAUAAAUGAGCCACGCACAGUACAGGAUGCGGGGAUCACAGUAGCAGACUUGCUGGCUUCUGCAAUUACUAUUCUCUACUUGCUGCUGUUAUUCUAGUGUGCAUGCCUACUGGGGUCUCCUGUGCAGUGUGCAGGGUUAGCGUCACAGGCCCACUCUUCUCAGGUUCAUGGUGUGCGUUGAUCACACUAAGAGGCCACACACAGUAAGUACACGGCUCAUUUAUUUACUUAUCUUCAUUUGUUUACAUUUCUGUGGUGCUAGAGAUGGAGCCCGGGGCUUUGCCUGUGGUAGGGAGUUGCUCUGUCACACUCCAGCUCUUGAACUUACAAUGGGCCACGCAGCAGACUUGCUUAUGCAGCAUCUUGUUAGGGGUCCCAGGCCAUGACCGCGGUCAUCCCAAUCACCAGGCGGAUUCGAGAGCUUGCUGAAAACUGCAUGACGCUUUAUUGUAAUUUAACGAGCUAACCCCAUGUUAGCUCCGGUCUUUCACCCACCCGCCUUGGCAGAUGGCUCGCAAAAGACUCUGAGAAGCCACAGGACCGAGAUCUUAUAGGGCAGCGUAAGGGGAGUGUCUAGGGGUACGCACAGGCUCAGGAUUGGUGUACCUCCAGCCUUGGAGGGAUUGCCCUGUGUUGAUUGGCCAAAUGGUUGUUAUGGCCCAUAGGCCCUCCCAGGGUGGUUGCUAUGCUUUGCAUCAUUGCUGUGUGCUUGUCCGUAAAGUACAGCCAGGGUCUUAAAGCAUAGCGCCACCAGCUAACUUCUGAUUCGUUCCUUGUCACGAGGCAGGCAUCUGACUUUCUAGUGUCCAGGACAAGGUCAUACAAGCACGUGUUCGGCUGCUAUGACUGCCGAAAGGGGAGCUGGUCCCUUCAAUCUCAGAUCCACAGUGAUGUGGCAGUGAGUGUUUGGCUGGCUGUGUCAUUCAUUAGGUGACUCCACCCACAACACUGCGUGAGAAGGUACUGCUAGUUAACCUUUGUGGAUGAUGAAACGGAGGCAUGGAAAGACCAAGAGACUUAACCAGGGGACAAAGCCAGGGUUCUAGCCCAGGACUACGGUUCCAGCUUCUAUGAAGUUACCAUUUCCGAAGGCCGGAUGGCAUACAAUGACGCUUGUAGUAGGGACGUUGGCUUCCUCUAGAAGGAUCGAUGAGGAGAUGUAUAAAGAAAUCUCCCAUUGUGGUAAAAAUCUAGGAGUAAGAAAUAAUAUUCCAGAAAGGUAGAAGGGCAUGACUGGAAGCUCUGAGGUGAAAACGAUGCUGUUGCUGGUGCAGAGAGAGGCGGCUGAGGUGAGCAGGGCUGCUGCUGCCAUUGGUAGUGUUUGACUUGUGUUACUUCCUCUUGCUGUGACGAAAUACCUGAGGCAAUCAACCCAAAGGAAAACAGAAGAGGUCUGCUUGGCUAAGUUUCAGAUGAUUCAGCUCUUGGUCACACAGCACAUUGCUUUGGGCCCAGCAGGCGGUGGUGGGAGCUGAUUGGCAGUAGAAGCUUGUUCACCUCGCUGUGGCCAGGAAGCAAAGAGAGAAAGAGGGGGAGGGGCUGGGAUUCCACCAUCCCCUUACAGGUCCCUUCUCAGUGACCCAAUUUCCUCCCCCUGGGUUUCACCUCUUAUAGGUCACCACCCCCCAUGGUGCCACAGUGGGUGAGCCAGCCCUCAGUACAAUGGGUCUCAGGCUGGCAAGCAGCAGAGCCAGCGGCAAAGCUGAGGCUUUCUGAGUAACCAACACUUAUCCCGCAUGGUCCUUGGGCAAAGAUGAAUUCUCCUCCCGUGAUCAUUUACCAUGAUUAUGUGUGGUGACUGCUGUUCCCUUGCAGAGGCUCCAGUUCUGUCCAGGAACAGUCCUGUCUUUGGUGGAAAGUCACAUGAGCUAAGGCUUGGUCUCCUGCCUGGAUGCCCGCACCACACCUCACACGGGAGGACUUCACCUCAAACUCCAUGUGAUGUACUCGGCAGGUGGACUCAGGUCCCUCUUGGGGCUCAAGUCAUUGCCCAGGCCAUCUAAGGUUGUAUAUCAGAGCCCCCAUUCCUUCUCCACGCCAUAUCCUCUUCACCAUGUUAACAUCUACCUCUUCCCGGAAGCUCUCCACAACAGGGGCGGAAAUGGGGUCACUGUCUCAAUCUGGACUUGCUGUAAAGCCCGGGCUGACUCCCUGGCGCUUCCUUCCCCAAAUGUGGCUGUAGAAGGGGUGUUCCUGAUGUGGCAAAGGAAGUUACCCCUGUAGGACAAUGCCUUGGCUCAAGUCUGCCACCGCUGACCUGCGCUGUAACCUGGGGCACGUGGCUAAACUGCUGUAAGCCUCUGUUUUCAUCUUCUUAAUUAUGAUAACAGUGUCUCCUGCGGGACUUGGAAACAGCAUUCUGCACACAACAAGCAUUGAGCAAGUGUUAGCUCUUCUCUUUUCAGAUCAUUUCUGCUCACUGCAUCUUAUGGUGGCCGUACAUCAACCUGCCAUUAAUCAUAGGAAAGUUAGAAGCCUCCUUUGUGGUUAUUUGGUAUUUAAUGUUCCCCAAGUGGUACAUAAGCAAGACGAGAUCGCCCUCCAAGAGCCAUCAGCCCCAGAUGAUGACUGUGCUUGGCUUGAAUGAAAAAUGAAACCCUGAGAAAUGCUCACAUUUCUUCAUCGAGGCUGUGACCUCGCUCUUACCCUCGUCUGGGGAAGUGUUGGAUUUUUGGCACAUGGACCAUUCCCAUUCUGGCACUUGACACCUUACAUACGGGCUGAGGUGGGGCUGGGGGCCCUGAUGGGCUGUGGAGUAGGAGUUUGCUGAGCUUGAGUGUAGAACUUCUUUGUGGUUUGGUGUACCUCACAUUUCUCUGGGUUCUCUGCUUGCUGUGGGGGUGCUCUAGAGCAGGAGGUGUGGGAGUGAGCAGGGCUGUGAGCCAAAAACUGAGAUCACGGACUUGGGGUCCAUGGAGCGGGCUUGGACUUGGAGUUUGAUCCGGGAGUUCCAUAUGAGGUCCUUAAAUGGGGAAAUGAUAGGACACAAAGCUCUGCAAAGACAAGGGGAGGAGAAGAGUUGGGUCCUGGGGCCACCUUAAACACUCAGCCAGAGUCAGUCCCCAGCCCUAGGAGGCAGGGGGAGCGGGAGAGGUAUUUCAAAGGUAGCAGAGGUCGCAGGGACCAGCUGUGAUGAGAAGGGAACACAAGAACAGAGGAAGUGGGGGCAGGGAGUGCAGAGCUGUCCUCUGCCUGCUACACCACCAGCCCCCCUCUCACCAACUCACUCUCCUGUGGGCCUUUUAUUUCUCGUGGAUGGGCUUGUGGGGUGGGAGUCCCACCCCUUACUUAGGUUUCGCUUGCUUGGGAACUCCAGAUAGUUGGAGGAGGAAAGACUGUCUUUCCUCCCACUAUCCCUGUCUCUGGCCCAGGCAGGGCCCGGCCUCAGAGGAAUCUGGGUGCAUCAUAGGUAGGCCAGUGCUUGGAACUGGUGCCUCCAUGCUCCGUUCUGUCUCAGCACGAAUGAUGCAGUCAAGAGGGAAAGGCCAGCUCCUGGAGGGCUCCUUCUAGCAGUUUCUUACAGGACUCUUGACUGUGCCUUCGAAAGGUGACUCAAGAUACCCACCUACUUAGAGGUGUCACCUUGCUUUUCAUGACUCACAUGACAUGUGGAAAGGGUGGCAGAGCCUGUGGGUGUGUGUGCGUGCUGUUGAAUGCCUUUCUCACAGUUCUGAUCUGGCCACAUUGACCUGGAAGUAACCAGGUGUCACCAGCAGGUGACACCCAGUCCUUUCUCCUGGGAGAGAAUCCACAUGCUCCUCCUCAUUCUUUUUUUUCCUGCCGCCCCCUCCUUCUUUUCCACUUUCUGGUUCUCUCCUGUUUUCACUUCCUCCUGGGUUCCCCGCCCCUUUCUCACCCCUGAUGCCUCAAGGUUGCAACAACAGUUGCAAUCUGAAGAGUUGGCAAAUCCGUUCUGUGUUUCCAGAGAGUUGAGAAGGUGAAAGCUGGAACCACAGGUUCCCCUGGCUGGAGGUCAGGAUCGCCAGCAGCCUGGUGGGGAGUGGAGAGCAGACAGCUCUCCCUGCCCAUUGUCUCUCAGACCUGUCAUGCUGGAAGCAUGUGUCCUGGGCCAGGGCGGGCUUGCAGUGACCAGAGUUGUCUGGCUUUAUGGGAAUAUUCCCCUAGGGAAAGAAACAGAAGUCAUCUUUGGAGGCAGGUGUUAGGCAGUUCAGCCCAUCCUGGCCAUCCCUCUCCUACUCCCUUGCAUUGCAGAGGCCAGUUCCUCUGACAUCCUGUCUACUCAUGAAGGAGUACGUGAUUUCCUCUGAGGCUCAGGCCUCCCAGCCUGCAUGAGCUGAGAACUCAGGCCUGUCAGCCGGCAAAGGCGUGCUAGCUAUCCAUGAAAGCAUGCCUUCAUGGCCAUGUCUUCAGCCAAGGUUUGAUUUCCCGUUCUGUACCUUGAAGCACUGUCCAUGGUGCUUUCCCAAGGUCACACCAUGUCAAAACAGAUGUGCCAUCCAUGGGACGCUGUGGCCGUUGGUGUACCCUUCGUUUUUCUCCUCGAUUGAUCUGAGUUGCUGUGGGGGCAGAUGAAUCCCCCUCUGCUCCCCCAAAUCCCUGUGAGUGGGUUUUAAAAACACACCCAGUCUCCUUGUUGAACAGUGUGAGUGGAGAGGGGAAGGAAAGGGAUGCUUGGAAAGCCUCCCCCCAGGGCCUGUAGAAGAUGGAUUGGCAGAAACUGGAGUAGACCCUGUCCACACACUUCCUCCAACAAUUUCUGGACAACUGCGCUCCAGGCAUAUAACCUCCGUUAUAAGCUUGAAAGUGAGCCCGCCUUUAAGUGGGUCACCAGGCACAUACAUUGCUCACACACUGCCUGUCGACUUCAUUAAUCAGCAUUCUAGCUUAGUGUAUCACAUGAUUUCUUCCUAACAUGACCGCUUAGCAGCCACUGCCAGACGUCUGGGAGGCAGAGGGUCUGUACACUUCCUCAUUCGGGGCCUAUCUUCUCUUGAUGGCUGGUGUGGGGCCAAAGAGAUUCGACUGUAUUGUAGAAUAUUCCCUCACACGCUGUGUGAAUAUAUGUCACUAUGAUUGGUUUAAUAGAAAGCUAAACAGCUAGUCAGGAUUUUGGGGGGCAGAGAGAACACAGAAGAAGGAUAGAGGCCCAAGGAGUCACCAGCCAGGUGCAGAGGAAGCAGCAUGGACUUUACAGAUUACAAGUCACCUAAAAGAAUGUCGUAGAUUAAAGAAAUGGGUUAAUUUAAGUUGUAAGAGCUAGUUAAAAACACACCUAAACUAUUGGCUGAGCUUUUACAACUGAUAAUAAGUCUCAUGUCGUGAUUUGGGAGUUGGUUGGUGGGACAGAAAAAUCUGCCUACAAAUGGUAGCCAAUGUCUAGGCAGGUAUUUCCACAUAAGACCCAAGAAAGCUUAAUAAAAAAAGGUUCCAAAUACACAAGUAUGCAAAACUGGAGCAAAAUGAAGCUUCCUAGCCCCUCAGUCUCUCAUGCAGGCUGAGGUACAGAGACAUGUUUCCUGGCUGCAGCCUGAGGGCUUGAGCCACACCAUGAGCUAAGCUGCAGGACGGUUUAAGGUUUUGCUCAUGCUGACAGAAAAGGUUACAGAUACACAGUAAAGCAGGUUCAGAUGGGAAAAAAAAAACAAAUUUCUAAACAAGUUACAGUGUGUUUAACAGUGUGCAUAGGCUUAAGGGGAAAAUAGGUAUAGACAGUCAUAGAAAAAUAAAUAAUUUAAAAAUAAUAAAGUUUUUAAAGAGAGAAUAAAGUAAUAAAAAUAAAGUCACAUAAGGAUGGAAAAUACACAAGGAGUCUGGAUACUCAAUGGUGUCUUGUUAACUUUGAUUUUUUUAAAGGCUAAUGUAGAAAAAACAAUAGCUAUUGAGAGAUAUUGGAUUAUGGAAAUGCUAAAUUAAACCAUCUUAUAUAUUUUUAAAAUGUCUUAACUUCAAAAUAGAAGUCAGACAAUAUGUUGCAUUGCAGGAGAGGUUAUGCUUUUGUUUCCAGAGGAAACAAAAGGCUGUGGGUUCCUUUCAAGUUAAUUGAGAUCCGAUUGGAACAGGGGAGACCCCCUGAAAAUCCUGGCUACAGACAUAAAGGCAUAAGCCUAGAAAAACUACAAGAUAGAGCAAGGGGACCCGGCACAAAUGAAGAUGGGUGGCCCAAGAGACCCAGCCUCUCAGAGGGCCUCGGUUGCAGUUUCUUCAGAGUUCCAUAUCCAGAACAGCUUCAAGGCUGCUGGCUGAGAUGGUCCAGCCUCACAGACUAUUCCAGCCAGAACUUCAGAGGAGCUUUACACCUUUCCAUUGCACAGAGACUGGACAACAAAUAAUACAGCUACCUCUCCCAGGACUUGACCUCUAUCCCAUUUUUUCCCCAGCAUCUCUUAAAGAUGUCAGUGUUCCCAGACAACAGGAAACAGUCUACAGAACGCGAUGCCCACAUUCCCAAGAGGUGGGGUGGCUGGCUUUUGGUCAUUCGAUGGGUUGUACAUGUUUGUUAUCAUUUAGGUGGUUGGUUACAAAUUGUUAUUGGUUAUGAUCAGGAAAAACAGUUAAACAAAGGAGUUAGAUUCAAGGGUCUCUUUCUGAAGGAAAAAAGGGUGAUAUAGUAUAGAAAUGAUGAGAUAAAAGGGUAGAUUGUUUUCUUACCUCACAGCUCUUUUAUGGUUUUGUCUGUGGAAGAGUACCACCCCCUAUGAGGGCCAUUAUGUUUCAAAUCACCACAGAGGGCUUGCAGUUUUCCUUAUUCAUGUGCACAUUGGCUGCAUUUUGUCCAUGGGACUGUGUUAUAAGCAAUAAAAUCCUGGCUGUGUGGUGUCUCUCUGGUCCCCUAAUCUAGUAUAUUUCCUGUCAAAAGGAGGUACAGUUGAUUUAUGUUCGUGCUGGUCCCAAGAACUCCCCUUUUCUUUUCUCAGUGCUUAUGAAUCACCCCCCACUUAAUAAAUCAUCCCAGAAAUUGCCAAGGCUUGUAUGGAGCCAUCAUCCUUCUCUCCUCUCCUCUCCUCUAUGACAUCUUGUAGGCAUUGUCCGUGUCCCAUGUCCUCCCACCUUUUCCUGGGCUCCAGAGUGGAGAGCCUAUAUUCCACUGAGGGUGCUUGGGCAAAGUGUGGCAUGCUGGGAUCUGGAGGAAGGUGAAGCUGAGUUCCCGUGCGGUGGAGAAAGAUGCUCACUAUGGAGACGCUGGAGCCUCAGGAUGCAGGUCCUGCUUCUCCCACUGGAAGGAGGCACACUCCUGUUCCCUUUCUGUGUUGCUACCCUUCUCAGACCCACCCAUCAAGGAGAGCCAAGCUUCUCUGCCACCUCAGUGAGCCUGCUACAUAGGAGCCAGGGCUACAGGACUGACACUGGUGGGGCAUGAGCACUGUAGGGUUUUUCAGGGGCCGGGGAUAGCCUAGCAGGGUUGGACUGGAUGACCUACUGUUCAUUUUAGCCCUUCGAUAAAUUCCAGAGUCCCAUGAUCCCAGGGCCCUCCUGGCAUCCGUCUUCACACUCCUUCCUUUUCUCAUGAAUUAACCUUGCUCUCUGCCUCCGCAGUGUUCAGGCUUCCAACUUACACUGGUUCUCACGGGCCCAAUGCUCAGAGGCCUUCACUGAAUUGGAGGAUGAUGGUCACGGUUAGAGACUGGUGCUUUUAGGAGCUGUGUAGCCAGAGGAGGGUUGAGGGGAGGACAGCACAGCACAUGAGGUCAGAGUGUGGCGGUGGCUCAGCAGCGUGGCACAAGGUGUGCGCACACUGAGCAUAAGGCACACGGUCCAUCUUAGUCACUUGUGGCGUAGCGUGAACACCUGCAGGUGCAGGUGCCAGAGGACAACAGAGACCAGGCAGCCUAGGCUCCAGCGCUCACACAAGCAGCUGAGACCGUGUACCUGUGUGAAAGCAGAGCAGAUAAAGCACAGAGGUGUUAGGAACAGUUUGGGCUCUGUCCAGGACCGUGGAUUCUGCAGUCCAGGGCAAGAUCUAGCCACGUGGGUGUCUGAGAAAUGGCCCCCCAUUGGAUGCAAAUGUGAUUGGCAGGUCCAGGCAAAGCAAAGUGGCUGGUGUUAGUAAAGCUUCCUUUCACCAGAGCAGGGUGGAAGAAAUGAGGAACAUGGCCACUCAGAAAGAGCCUUGUGAGCCAUGUGAGUCAUAGUCAGGACUCUGGAUUCAGCCCUGCAAGCUAUUUGCUACGUGUAGAGUGAUUCCUCAAUAGGCCUGGGGUGGAAUUUUGAUAGUGCUUCGCCGGGUCCUUCCUGGCCAUCGCUUGACCUCACUGAACUCUAGUUUCUCCUCUGCAAAGAGGCCAGCCUUACACUAUGUGACUGUGGAGGCAGAUAGACACAAGUACUAUGCCAACAGCAAACAGCUUGGUGCCUCUGCCCAGGGCUACCUGUGUGGUCGGCUUGAGGCUGUAUGUCCUGGAGGCAGGAGUCAUGUCCUCCCAGAUGGUACGCAAGGUGCCGACUUGGAGCCAGGGUGGGCACUCACUGCUCAGGGCUCAAUGAAGGCAACCCCUGCAUAACACAGACCGGGUGAUUAUGGCACUAGUAAUCUGGAUGGCACCAGGAUUGGCCCGGAAAGGCAAAUAAUGCUGUGUGAGAGCUGCACAGUGAGCAUUGUGAAUCCCAGGUCUGCCAUUAGAACAGGAGUCAUGGAAGCUUCAGGUCCUGGGAAAGCCCCUCCCCAUGCCUGCAUCUUUCCUGUGGCAGGAGCUCCCGGUGAGUAAAACUGAGCUGCAGCCACUCACAGGGCUUUGUGGAGAGGGUCUCCUCGAGCCCAUGUGGCUGCGUGUUCUGUGGGUGGUACAUAGUCUCUCCGUGUUUUCUAUGCUCCCACCAUACCUUAUGUUUUCCUCCUGUUGGGCCCCUCCAUGCCCACUCACCUAUCCCAGGCCGUCUGAAGUCUCUCUGGGCUCAGACCAUCCCUGUGUCUGGGGAGGUUUUCCACUGCUAAAAACACCUAGCUGUAGCACACAUGCAGAGACAGCCCUACUGUCACAUCCAGAACAAACAGCACACCCUAAAUGGAAAGGUCAUGCAGGUCUGACUGUCUACGUGUUCACACAGCUGGAGGCCAUGAACACAGCGGAGAACCCUGCGGGUCUACUGUAGGCUACUGACCUCCCAGAGGACCCUGACUGGGAUGGCUGGUUUAGUCUUAUACUGAAACCCAUAAUCCAUCCUUUUGUGACCCUUCCCUAGGAGAACCUGAGAUGCUUCCCUCCUCACGUACGAGUAUAAGCGCGCGUGUGUGCGCGGGUACGUGUGUGUGUGUGUGUGUGUGUGUGUGUGUGUGUGUGUGUGUGUUUACAUAAACCAAGCCAAACUUAGGGUGCUGAGUAGUCACUUAGGGGUCUUCCCAGCAGCAUGAGCUCCAUGAGCUCCUCCUGCUCUUCAGGACUCCUGAGAACCAAACAGCUGGGAGGCAGUCAGAGGGAAGAUGGGGACUGAAGAAGGAAGGAUGGAGGGAGGCUUGGCUUACAGGUUCCAGGAGCCUCUGGCUGGUAAUCAGUCAGAGCUGAUGGCUAAGGUUGGGCUUAUAAAAUCUGGGCACAUAAGCAAAGGGCUCCCCCUGGUGGUCAGGAGCUGGGAUCUUGAAUAGGUGCUGGCUUCCUGCCUGCAGCCCAUUCUGCAGGUGUUCCUGGACGACUCCCUGGCAAAUGCUCAAAAGAGAGCCAUGUGAUGCUGGGGACAGAGAUGCAGAAGUGAAAGCACCUCGCCAUCUGGAGCACAGAUGGACAGCUUGGGGGACUCGGUCAGAGUGGCGUCUAGAGUGAGGCUCUGCCGGCCCCUCCCUUAGGUAGCUGUGGCUCCACUCGCUGUCUGUCCCAGAGUCACAGCACAGGCCCUAUCGGAAGGGUUGUCCCGAUUCCUGUCCCCUACCUACUCCUGCAGAGAGUUACUUCAACACAUCCGGUCUGGGCCCACUGCCUGAGAUCCUAUAUGCCUGGCACCACUGACAGGUGCCGACCUGGGCCCUGCAUGACCGACUCAAACCCUGACAUCUUUUCCACAGAAGUGGAUGAGCCUGUCGAUCUGGGUGAGCUGGGACUAGGAUGGAAGCAGAACCAGGGACUCCCUAGUCCAUCUCCAACCCCACAUUCUCAAACUCUCAGUUUUGUUCCAGUCUUGGAGGUUGGACUCUGUAAUCUCCUGAAGCUUUUAAGGUGAUUCCCCCUCACCAUGGCUUUGGCUUGCCUGGAUACCCUUCAGGUAGGCUCAGUGUUGGGUUGGCUGGUGGGGCUUGCUCUCCUGAAGACACCUCUUACUGGCCCAUGUCUGGACCCCUGGAAGGCUUUCUGUAGGUCUAAUGUUGUGAACCCUGGGUCUUCAGAGAAGUUUCCAUCUCUAACAUCCCAUUGUACUGAUGCAGGAGCAGUACAACUGUGCGUCCUGGCCCCCAGGACAGAGAGAACCUGGGAAAGGGAAACUGUGUCACCCACUUCCAAUUAAGCAACAGGUAAAAAGGGCUCACAAAAGCUGAAAUUCCAGCCCUCAGCUUGAAUGUUGUUUUCUAACCCAUCCCCUCUCUCUGCUAGGAGCAUAAAAUCUUUUGCUAGCUUGUGUGUCAUGCUGGGACACUAAUGGCAUAGUGACUCAUGGGGACCACCUUUGCAGGAUAACACCUAAGUGUGUGUGUGUGUCGGGGGGGGGGGUGACUGAGAGUGACCAAGCAUGUGUGCACACAAGGUCCCUGAGCUUGGUGGAUACAGAUGACCCUGGCUUCCUCUUUGGAGAGGAGGUUUCCUGUCUCAGCUAGGUUCUGAAGUCAUCCCUAGCAUUGGUCCAGGCAUCGCUGUCCCUGCCCAGGCCUUCCUCAGCAGUUUGACUUCUUUCACCCCAUCUGGCUGAAGUCUAGGGGAGCUCCCAAGUGAGUGGCUGACCCCUUCUGGAGCCAGGCCUCUCUGCUCUAGUGUCGUGGGGUACCCACCAGAGAAGACUACUAAGAAAUGGAUUGAAGCCAAUAGGAAGUCUUUAUUAGCCAGCCUGUGGCUAUACUGGGUGUCUGUGGGUUGACAUACUUCAGUUAGCAGGAACAGUUAGCCAGAAGCAGAACUCCAGAAGCCAAACAAGCAAGUUAGUACAUUAGAGGCUUUCCCACAACUAUGGACUUUGAUGGAUUAGGUCUUUGUUCUUGUUUUGGCAGGUGGUGCUGCCCAAGUGCUGAGUUUCAAGGCCUGAAAGGUACUCUAUCAUGGAGUCAGCUGUGCUAAGGUCUAGGGACCUGUAACACUAGUAGGCUGCCAAACCAGGGACAUUGGCAAAGGUAAGCUGACAGGGUGGAGGGGGACCUAUCCCUCUUCCCUCUUGACCUUGUGUAAAAAACUGGGAGGGCCCCUCCUCCCAACGGGCCUUCCAGCUGCAGCUGUUCAUGGUUACCUGGGUGCUUGGUAACUGGCUCUCUGCCUGGUCUCUCUUCAUGGGAUGGGCUGUGUGUGCCAUCUGCCUGGCUCUGCUGUGGUUGUCCUGCAUGCCCUUCAGUCAGGGUGUACUUCUUCACUGAGAUUUGGGGAUGGAGGGGUAAAGAAGGAUAAUGUAAGAACUGAGUUCAGGCAAAUCUCACACUUAAAGUCAAGCAACUGUGGCAGUGUGGGGGUGCAGGAGGCUCUUCGGGGCCUGGUCUUUCCUGCCCAAGUAGUCUCCAGGCAAUGGGCAAAACAUCCGAGGGGACCAAGGCCGUUUCUUGGCUAGAGGUGAAAAGAGGGUCAGAGCAGCUAUUGCAGAUGGAAGGAAGCACGUUUUUUCCACAGGGGGAAAUGUCACACUGAUAGACACAGGAUCUCUAAAAAUAGUCACGCUGAGAACCUAAUGGCCCUUGGCGUAAUUGCUGAUGUCAGGGUAGGUGACUUGGCAUUUGCUCAAGUGGCUGAGGGCUGGAGGUGCCACCGGCUCCAGAGAGGAACUGGAAUGAAGCCAGGGAACUCAAACCUCUGUGGACAGAUGAGGGCCAGGGUUGAGGUUAGGCAGUGAAGCAGGAAGGUAUGUCACCCUGUGGUGCCAGGGACUUGGAGACGGGAACACCUCAGUUUAUGUAAGAUGUGAGAUGUCUAGAACAACUGGUUUAAGCUAGAAAGGACAGAGGCAGGCUGAGGAGGCUUCUGAGGAGGUGGAGGCGGCUCUUCCCAUAGCCUCCUUCGAAGGUCCUAGCAGGAAGGAGGCCAGGCCAUGAUGAGUAGGGAGAGUCUACACCAGGGCCAGCCAUACUGGCCUGGGCAAACAAGGCCAGGCCCCGCUGUUCUUGCAGGAUGAAGUGGAUUUGCUCCCACUGGCUUUUCUGUGUAAGUCUGAACCCUGGUGGCUGGUGCCUCUAGCAGGCUGAUGAGGACUCAGCAAAUGCCUUUGCUUUCCUAGGAUCAAGAUAAAGAGCCUGCCAAGCACACAGGGUAAAGGAAGCGCCUGCAGCCAUCAGGAAGGCUGGGAGAAACCAUAUUUUGUGCCAGAGUAGAUCAUGGGGAGGAAACAGCAGCCCCAACCUUCUGUAUAGCAACAAAGGCAGGUCAAAGGUGACUCUGGACACACGGUUUUGAUCAAGUCUAUAGCAGGGAGAGGGUGAACAUACCGGUAUCCCAGGAGCACGACUCCAGCAAAGGCCUUCUUUUGCCUGAUGACAUGUGUGAACGUAACAGCUGGGCUCUGAGUUAAACCCAUUCCCCACAGUGUGUGUCCAUUAACCCAUUCCUUCCUUGUCCCUUAGAUGACAGGUAUGGCAGGACAACCGUUCCUUCCUGUUUGUUCACCUUCCAGCCACUCAUCUAUCUCCAGCUAGUCACCUCUGUGACCAAGAGUCCAGGCUUACCUGUGGGUUUGUUAUCAGCCUUCAUACAGUUCCCUCAUCAACACCUUUGGUGGGGGAGGAACACAGGGGAUACAUGACUUGUGGCCCUCUGUGGAAGGGGCAAAGGAGACAGCUAAUCAGAAUUGAUUUUUACCUGCCUGGUGCCCCAGGCUUCAGAGAAAGGCCAGGAUACUUCAUGGGCCCAGGGUAGUAGCUGGUUUAAUAGGUGAUGGCACAUGUAGAACAACAAGGGGCAAGGGGUAGACCCCCAAACUUUCAGAGUGGUCAAAAACCAUGUACACAGUGAGAAGUCACAGCAUAAACUUCCUGACGCUGCAAACCUUUAAUACCCUUCCUCAUGUGGUGACUCCAAACCAUAAAAUCAUUUCAUUGCCAUUUUGUAACUGUAAUUUUGCUACUGUUGUGAAUCAUGAUGUAAAUAUCUGUGUUUUCCAACUGUCUUAGGUGGCCCAUGUGAAAGGGUCAUUUGACCCCCAAAGGAGUCUUGACACACAGGUUGAAAACUGCUGGCAUAGAGUCUUGCUAGCCCAACUCUCAGAGUAACAUAGUAACUUCCUCUUGGCCUCUGGAACACUGGACACACUCACAAGGAUCACAUCUCUUCUUGUAGCUCUGGAGACUAGAUAUAGGGUCGGGAAUGUCUGUCUUCACCACACAGUUGGUGUUGGAUGCAUGGGAAGAUGGGCAUGUGGGGUCAGGCCCUCAGGAUCUUCACACAUCAUCACCGGCUGUGGGCCACCCCUUCUAGCCAGUCUCCCUGUACCUAGCUCAUUUGCUUACCUUGCUUCUCACCUCCCACCUGGAAAGGGUGUUACAGCUCAGGCCAAUGACCUGGAUCAAAGAUACCUUCCUAAUUCCCACUGCUCCACGGAACCUAAUCCAAAGAUGCCCACUGACCCUGAGCAAGAAGCAGUUCACACUGCAGAUGGGACCAGAGAGUCUCAGUUUCAAUAGAGAUGACAUUACCUACUGGCCCAAGUCUGUCAUUUUGUUUGUCUUCCCUCCAAUGGCAGAGAGGAACAAGGCCCUGUCAUUAUGCCACCAGCCUGAGACAACAUUGUGAGCAAGGCCAGCCCAGAGCUGCUGAGCCAAAGCUGGGAGGCCUCAAACUAUUCCCAGCUUCCAGGCCCACGUGGUCUUGGGACUCAGGCCCAGACUCACCUUUUCAUGGUAAUACACGAGGGAUGUCUGAGCACCUGCUCCAUCUAGCUUACUCCCUCAGGCUCCUGGAAUAUCUGGAGAGAGAUGAGAAUACUUCCAGGAAAGGGCUUUGGAAUGCCAGCUUUCCAGUCUGCUCCAGAGCUUGAGUUUUACAUUGUGGAGACACAGUUUCACAGAGUCAAGUCUUUCGGAAACCUUGCAGGCCUGCAGGCAAGUGGUAAGACAAGGAGCUAGGAGAAGCUGAACUCUGACUCAAGGAGCACAGAGAUGUAAGCAAGUUUUCACAGUGUACACAGGGAUUAUUCCACAGCAUGGAGAUCCCCAAGAAGAGCACCAGGGAACACCACACUCACAAGUCAUAAGUAGUGGAGGUCACAUUUUUCAUGGUGGCCAGCAGAAGGCUACCAUUGUCUCAGUAGGCAUAAUCCUCUCUCCUGGGACCACGUUACAGAGAAUGAAACUCAUCUCUAUGGAAGGCAGACAAGGAGGCCCGGGGGAAAGACUACCACUGUACGCACAAGCAGCUUUAUGGGAGCUCAAAACCGUGAAUGAAGAUUCACAUGUAACCUGGCCCCCAAAGGAGGAUGACAGCGAACUGGCUCCCCCUCCACAGGGUGGAAUGUGCCACUAUUCCACCAAACACACCCAGCCGUGCUUCUGGUGCCCGAAUACCUUUACCACACACAUCCCAAUGCAGGCAUCUGAGAGACAGACUGCAUUAUGGUAUGCCACUGAGGGCCCUUCAUCCCAACUCUCAGUCACGAUGGGCACCGCCUGGGCUGAACUAAGUAAUAGGCACCCCAGGGAUGUCCUUGGGGAUGCACCCUAAGUUCUGCACCCUUUCUGGGGCAGGGCCUGAUAUAAUCGACCACAAAGAAGUGAGCAGUGUGUUCUCCCAAGCUGUGUCUUAAGGGGAGGCCUGGAGGUCAAUGGAAAACUCACUAAGCAAUCUAAGGAAUGAGGGUGGGGUGGCUUGGAGCUUUCUUGGUAAACAGCUGGGUGGAUACUACUCAUCUUGUACCAGUGAUGACCGAUUUCCCCAAUGCCAGGACUGGCCAGCACUCUCCUCUGCUCUUGAGGGGUUGUGGGAAGACUGUUGGCUGCUACUAACCCUUGAAGACAGCUCUUUUCUGGUUUGUGAAUUUUAGCUGCUGGUAGGAGGGGCAGCUGCAAAGAAUGAACCAGGGAGAUGCUGGAAACUGAAGUUCAGAACCUUCUCCAGGGGAGGGUCUGAUGAGGGCUCUUCACCAAACAACCUUCCACACCAGGAAGAGCAAUUUCCAAACCCCACUCACCUUCCCAUAACAACUGUGGGCAAUGCAGGUGGUGGGGCACAGCGAGGCAGAAGCUGGCAAGAUUUGGUUCUAGACGACAAGGGCUAGAGUGUGGCACAUGGCCCGUCCCAUGCUGCACACAGGUCUUCAUCUUAGGCAAACUCUAGUAUUCGCUCAGCCUCCAAACCAGCAUGUGCUUCCAACUGCCUCCCAAAGCCACGUAAGUCAAGGCUCUGACAUCUCAGGAAAGUGGCUCUUCCUGGGGCAAGGGUAGGGGCAGGCUGAGGCUAGGAGGCAGGGAGCACAUGUAACAGGAGAAAAGAGUUGAAAGAAAAGACUGAUGACAAAUUAGAAGAAAGAAAACUACUUUGUAGCUGGCUGUAGUGACACAUGGCCAGAGUUGCCCUUGGGAAGUAGAGGCAGGAGGUUCAGGAGUUCCAGGCUUACCUAAACGACAUUGUAAGUCCCAGCCCAGCUGGGCUGUAUAGAUCAUGUCUUAAAAAUCAAAACAAAAUGAAAUAUACUCCCCCAUUUCCCAAGCAGCCAACAAAUCAAUCAACCUGCCAGACUGUUAAUGACAUCCAAUGUUGGCACCCUUAUUGAAACAGCAAAGGAACCUGGCACACUUGACUCAAAGAUGCUCAACCCCAGUUAGGCGUGAAAGACACCAGUAGAGAUUUUUAAAAGAUCUACAUGGCCAGCUCCUAGCUCAUCCCCCAAACAAGACUCUCCAGGGGCUGUGGAGACAGCUCAAUCAGGAAAUCACUUGCCUUGCAAACACUAGGACCUGAGUUUGAACCCAGAAGCCACGCGAAAACACUGAGUAUUGUGGUACAUGCUGAUUAUCCCAGAGCUUGGAGUAGGGUGCUCUGCAGUAGCUGGCCAGAGAGGCUUACCUAGGUGAUGGAGCCCAGAGAGCCUUACCUAGGCGGUGGGCUCCAGAGAGCCUUACUUAGGUGGUGGGCUCCAGAGAGCCUUACCUAGGUGGUGGGCUCCAGGGAGCCUUACCUAGGUGGUGGGUUCCAGGGAGCCUUACCUGGUGGUGGGCUCCAGGCCAUAAAGAGACCUUGUCUCUAAUGUGGGUGGUGUUCCUGAGAAUGGAAUCUAGGGCUGGCCUCCCUCUCCACACCCCUGCAUGCUCUUGCACACGUAUAAAAAAAGACCCUCCAGGGCUUCCAUCUGUAAAGUUUCCAGAAAUCCAAAGUUUAACCCCUCUGGAGAACUGCCAUUCUCAGACUUCGCUGGUGGGUACUGAUAGCCCCUCCGGCUGGAGGGCAGAAUUUGACAGCCUUUUGUGAGUUAGAUAUAGCUUUGUUCCUGAACCCUGCAAUCCCGAAUUAAACUUUACCCACAAAUUUCAAUCCACAGACACCACUCAACACGCACAAGGAUUCUUCUUGGGAAGCUGCUUGCCAUAGGCAGACUGUCUGUCAGAGGCUGUGGGAGGCCUGAGCCUAGCUCCAUCCACCCAAGUGAAAAGCAGGAGAGGCUAAGGAUGCCUGCCAAAAGGGACUGUCAGGACAUGCAGGAAACCAACAACUGGCCAACGGCACAGGGGUGCCUUUGAUGCCAUAAAAAAGUGAAGCAAAGACACUAGGAAAACACAGCAUGGCUGUGUGGGCCCAGGGACAGUCUGUUGAGGGACAACAGCAUGAGGCCUCCCUGUAGGUAUCUUCCCAACGUAAUUUUUUUAACUUUUGAAAAUUAUGAAUGUUUACAUGUUUGAAAAACUGAACUAAGUCUAGAGAGGAAAAAAAGAAACUCUGAAGCUGAAAAUACGCCCCCCCCCCAAAAGAACAGUCUGGUUCCCGAUAUAACUUAAGACCAAAAGAGAAAAAGGAGGAGACAUGAGUUCCAGAGGACACAUUUACCGUUAGAAGCAAUAACUUUGAGACUUACAAGCGUGGCGAAACAGAGCAAACCACAGUAAUGCUUGUGUGGUAAGAAGCCACACGGUCCCUUGGCAACAGAAUGUCCUCAGCCUGUUUCCUCAUCAGUAGGUGUGAUCAUUCCUCUACACGAAGCU
ensembl:lncRNA